GAACUUUGAAGAGAGAGUUCAAGAGUACGUGAAACCGUUAAGAGCCAAACGGGUGGGACCUCGAAGGUCGAACCGAGGGGAUUCAGCUCGUCGGCCAAAGCCGGCUGGGCGGCGGGAUUCGCUGAUGCGACCCAGGAACUCUUGGGCGUGCCCCCGUCCAAGCCGGCGCCGGCGGGCGUAUUUCCCCUCGUGAUGUAGGUCGCCGCGACCCGUUGCUGGGGACGUCGAAGGCCCGGGCGGACUGGUACCCCGACGUCGUGCGUUCGCGCCGACGAAGGGGGAAACCCCCGGUGUCCUGGCAGCCCUGCGACGGUCGAGCAGCAGAGGGGCAAACCCAUGACCCUCUCGCGGCGUGCAAAAGGUCGGUGACCCACCCGACCCGUCUUGAAACACGGACCAAGGAGUCUAACAUGUGUGCGAGUCAUUGGGCGCACUAAACCCAGAGGCGUAAUGAAAGUGAAAGGGGGGCGUCCCGGGGUCUUCGGGCCUCGGUCGGCGCCCUCCGGGGCCGAUCCCCGACCGCCUGCUGCCGUCUCCGUCUCCCAUACCAAAGCGAGGUCAAGGGGGCGCGCGGGGUGAGACCCUUUCUCCCGCGCCGCCUCCGGCCUCGUGGGGGCGGGGCGCGCGCGACGGUCCGGCUCCUUCGCGGGAGCCGCCUGCACGCAGGGGGGCGCAGGCCCGGGACUUGCCAUUCGACGCCGUCGCGCAAAUCUGUUGUUGGCCUCGCCGGCUCUGCUUGGGCUCUCGGUUGGCGCGCCGCGCGUCAGGCGGGCUCUGGGUGGGGGCUUUGUCCCUCGCUCGGGUUCGUCCCGCGCGGUUUUGCCUUCCGAUCCUGCUCUGUCCGGAGUGGCCUAGCGCGCGUGCUGUCGGCAAGUACCACGAGCAGACAUGUUGGGACCCGAAAGAUGGUGAACUAUGCCUGGCCAGGAUGAAGCCAGAG
rnacentral:rRNA from 1 species